UCUCUAAGCAAUGGAUGUCUUGGCUCCUCACACGAUGAAGAACGUGGCAUAAUGUGUUAAGUAACCGGAGUUGCAAACAUCAUGACAGGUUAAUCUUUGAAUGCAAAUUGCGCUAAACUCGAUCUCGGUCGAGAAGCAUGGGUGUGACAGUACUACAUCUUUUAUAAUAAUUCUUAUUCUAAGCGAAUAAGUAAAUAAUAUAUAAGACAAACAACACGUAGUCUGCCAUACGCAGGAAGACCCGCUGAACUGAAGCAUCUCAUUAAGCGGAGGAAAGAAACUAACUAGGAUUCCUUAGUAAAGGCGAUCGAAAAGGGAACAGCCCAACGUCUUAAUCCCGCAAGGGAAAUGUAGUCGGUUCACCUAUUGCACUGGUCUAAGUCAGAUGGAAUGCUGCGCGAUUCAGAGUAAAAGCCUCGUAUGACCAACCGCAAGCUUACGAUGGACCGGGGAGAGUCGGAUACUUUGAGAGUAGUGUCUUAAGGGGGUGGUAUGUCCCAUCCAAGGCUAAAUAACGUGAGGAGACCGAUAGAUUACAAGUAGUGUGAACGAAAGAUGAAAAGAACUCUAAAACAGAGGGUGAAAAGUUCCUGAACUUGCUUAGGGUUAAGGCUAUUUAUAGUACCCGUCUUGAAACACGGAUUAGGGAGUUUAUCUGUAGUGCGAGUCUUUGCACGUUAACUGUAAAGGCGUAGAGAAAGCAACUGGCGUUUGCAUGGCUACUGAGCAUUACUGAUAGGACCCGAAAGGUGGUGAACUUUGCCUGCACAGGUUGAAGUCAGGGGAAACUCUGAUGGAGGACCGUACGGGUUAUUGAUGUGCAAAUCAUUUUUCUGAUGUAGGUAAAGGUGCGAAAGACUCAUCGAACCACCUAAUAGCUGGUUUCCUCCGAAGUUUCCCUCAGGAUAGCUGUAAUGCAUUUAGUUAAGGGGAGUAGAGAUAUGGGUAGAGGUGCAGGGAGCCUUCGGGUUCUCAACUUAUUUCCAAACUUCGAACCUCCUUGUUAGGCAUUUACCUAACUGGAAAUGCUUAAAUGAAUUAGCGUUACAAGUGGGCUCUGACCGGUAAGCGGUCAUGGCGAAAUGGGAUGAACCAUACGUCUGAAUAAGGUGCCGAAAUGUACUAUCACUGAUACCAUAAAGGGAGUCCAUGUAUUUAGACAGCAGGUCGGUGCCCUAAAAGCAGGUAUCCGCUAAAGAGUGUGUUAAAACUCACCUGCCGAAUACUAGGGCCCCGAAAUGAAUGGCGCAUAUAGUACUACCGAUCUCAGACAUCAGUUCUAUUGAACUGAGAGUAGGGGGAUGUGGACAUUUUUGUGAAGGUGCAAUGUGAGUUGGACUGGAAGAAUGUCUAUUACAGAUCCUAAUUGAAGUAGCGAUUAUCCAGGCUUGUAUCCUGGGGGCUGAUGAGGAGUAGGGUUUCUGGACAACUUAAACAGAUCCAGAGUUAGUCGAUCCUAAUCUCAAUAAUGGGAGAAAGGGAGUACAGUUGAUAUUCUGUAACUGACAACAGUUCGCGGCAACGCAUACUAUUUUUCUCCGCCAAUCUUAUACCGUUGGUAGGGAUCUCUUUCCUACAUGACAGUACUAAUACCAGGGAAACUGGUCAUCAGGCGAACUGCGGCGUUCUGCUGGCAAAACAUAGCUUCGGUUAUGUCAAUGCUAUUGGAUUGGUCCAUGAAGCGAAAAAUAGUUUACUGUGUCACUCGUACCGAUAACCGCAUCAGGUCUUCUAGGUAAGUAGCCUAUGGCCAUUGAGGCAUGAUAGUUCAGGGAAUUCGGCCAAUUAGAGCUGUAACUUCGGGAUAAAGCUUGGCUCUGAUGAAAUCAGAACCGAUUGUUACGCGGAGAGCCCAACUGUUUAAUAAAAACGUAGUGUCGCGCUGUGGUAGUAUAGCCAGUGAACGCGACAUGAAUCCUGCUCAGUGCUGUGUCUGUUAAUAUGGUUCAAGCCAACGAAGCACCGUAAAUAGCUGGGUAACUAUGACUCUUAUCAAAGUACGAAAUACCUCGUCACUUAAUUAGUGACCUGCAUGAACGGAGCUAUGAGGUUCUCACUGUCCCAAACUGUCUCUCAGCGAACCAACUGUAGUGGAACGUCACUAGAUAUCCGGGAAAGAAGACCCUGUAGAGCUUCACUUGGUCUAGUCUGUAUAGUUCCUGCGGGGUGUAACUAGUGGAGAGCCAACAUCCGAAUUAUGAAUACCCGAAAGGAGCAGCGACAGGUGUCCUAAAAUAGCCUCCAGUGGGACAGAAAUCCUCACGCUUGAGGAUAGGCCACCAGCUCCAAAUCUGCACCGGAUUGAAAGGUACUAACGCGUCCAAAUAAGCCUCAGAAAUUGAUGGACCUGGCGGGUGCGACUAU
rnacentral:rRNA from 1 species